AACGAACGCUGGCGGCAUGCCUAACACAUGCAAGUCGAACGAUGCCUUCGGGCAUAGUGGCGCACGGGUGCGUAACGCGUGGGAAUCUGCCUUUCGGUUCGGAAUAACUCAGGGAAACUUGAGCUAAUACCGGAUAACGUCGCAAGACCAAAGAUUUAUCACCGAAAGAUGAGCCCGCGUAGGAUUAGCUAGUUGGUGAGGUAAAGGCUCACCAAGGCGACGAUCCUUAACUGGUCUGAGAGGAUGAUCAGCCACACUGGGACUGAGACACGGCCCAGACUCCUACGGGAGGCAGCAGUGGGGAAUAUUGGACAAUGGGCGAAAGCCUGAUCCAGCAAUGCCGCGUGAGUGAUGAAGGCCUUAGGGUUGUAAAGCUCUUUUACCCGGGAAGAUAAUGACGGUACCGGGAGAAUAAGCCCCGGCUAACUCCGUG
rnacentral:rRNA from 1 species